rnacentral:rRNA from 1 species
UCAAGUCCUCAUGGCCUUUAUGUCCAGGGCUACACACGUGCUACAAUGCACGGUACAAACCGUCGCAAACCCGCGAGGGGGAGCUAAUCGGAAAAAGCCGUGCUCAGUUCGGAUUGGAGUCUGCAACC